rnacentral:lncRNA from 1 species
UCAUAACACUAACAUAUUUUAUAGCUAGCCAUAAUCACAUAGACAAUCAGAUUUUAAAAUUCAUACAAAAAGUCAUUAACUUUAUCAUGGUCAGCUUGCACAAUCUUCAAAUCCGCUUUUCAAUUUCUUAUUUUAUUUCAUCCAAAGCUAAUACGUCACCAACAUACCUUCAUGGAUUACUUACAAUUUUUUAUUCACGAAUUAUCAUACCAUAAACAUCCUACAAUCUGGC